UACGUAGGGCGCAAGCGUUGUCCGGAAUUAUUGGGCGUAAAGAGCUCGUAGGCGGCCUGUUGCGUCCGCUGUGAAAUCCCGGGGCUUAACCCCGGGCUUGCAGUGGAUACGGGCAGGCUGGAGGCAGGCAGGGGAGAACGGAAUUCCCGGUGUAGCGGUGAAAUGCGCAGAUAUCGGGAGGAACACCGGUGGCGAAGGCGGGUUGCUGGGCUGACACUGACGCUGACAGCGCGAAAGCUAGGGAGCGGAACGGG
rnacentral:rRNA from 1 species